CCUACGGGGUGCAGCAGUAGGGAAUCUUUCCCAAUGGGGGAAAGCCUGAUGGAGCAACGCCGCGUGCAGGAUGAAGGCCUUCGGGUUGUAAACUGCUUUUAUAAGCGAGAAAUAUGAUGGUAACUUAUGAAUAAGGAUCGGCUAACUACGUGCCAGCAGCCGCGGUCAUACGUAGGAUCCGAGCGUUAUCCGGAGUGACUGGGUGUAAAGAGUUGCGUAGGUGGCAUAAUAAGUAGCUAGUGAAAUCCGGUGGCUCAACCAUUCAGACUAUUAGCUAAACUGUUAAGCUAGAGACCGUUAGGGGUAACUGGAAUUUCUAGUGUAGGAGUGAAAUCCGUAGAUAUUAGAAGGAACACCAAUAGCGUAGGCAGGUUGCUGGGACGGUUCUGACACUAAUGCACGAAAGCGUAGGGAGCAAACGGGAUUAGAUACCCCUGUAGUC
rnacentral:rRNA from 1 species